rnacentral:rRNA from 1 species
AUUGAACGCUGGCGGCAUGCUUUACACAUGCAAGUCGAACGGUAACAGGCCGCAAGGUGCUGACGAGUGGCGAACGGGUGAGUAAUGCAUCGGAACGUGCCCAGUCGUGGGGGAUAACGCAGCGAAAGCUGCGCUAAUACCGCAUACGAUCUAUGGAUGAAAGCGGGGGACCGUAAGGCCUCGCGCGAUUGGAGCGGCCGAUGUCAGAUUAGGUAGUUGGUGGGGUAAAGGCUCACCAAGCCAACGAUCUGUAGCUGGUCUGAGAGGACGACCAGCCACACUGAGACUGAGACACGGCCCAGACUCCUACGGGAGGCAGCAGUGGGGAAUUUUGGACAAUGGGCGCAAGCCUGAUCCAGCAAUGCCGCGUGCAGGAAGAAGGCCUUCGGGUUGUAAACUGCUUUUGUACGGAACGAAACGGUCCUGGUUAAUACCCGGGGCUGAUGACGGUACCGUAAGAAUAAGCACCGGCUAACUACGUGCCAGCCGCCGCAGUAAAAC